AGUGUAUAUCCUCCUUUGCUCACUCAUUCCACGGCAGGCUGAGGGUUUUUGCUCCUCCCUUGUCCUUGAUUGAUGAAUUAAGGUCACUGAUUAGUAAGGACCUCCCCUCACCUGGUUGUCUAGGUAUUAAUUGAAAGGAAAAAAAAAAAAAAAAAAACAGCAGACAUUAGGCCCUCCCUGGAAUAAGUUUGACACCCCUGCUCUAAUGGGUCAAUGAGUAACACUGAGGGCUUUGAGUCACUUUUAACUUGUUAAUUGGAUCGACUCCACAUAAUUAAACACUUCACCAGCACUCAAUGAAAAUGAUUCUAUUUACAGUUCAUUACACACCACUUCUCUCUUCAAUGUUGAUGUGAUGACAGUUGACUUCUUCAUUAUCCUGUCGGAUUGUAAAUUAGUUGUUCAACAGUCAUUAUCUGAGCUACUCCACUUUUCUGGAGUAAUAUUAAAGGCUAUGAAUAGCCAAAAGUUGUACUUAAAGCUGUUGUUGCAUUCAGCUGAUUUCAAGAUUUAGUAUACAUUACUGCGCAUCUUAAAAUAAAGCGAGCAUACUAAAUCAUCUAAAGUAUUUUAUCCGCCUCUCUCCCAGGGUAAGGGGAAAAUGAACACAUAUUGGCUGAUCGGACACAAGAACUACAGUGUUCAGAACGACAGUCUUGUGUGCCACUGGAACCCCAAUCUAGCCAGAAAGAAGAAGACAUUGGUGGGGAGCGACAUUUCUAUGGCGAACUCCUGUGUGACAGUGCAGAGCCUCAGUGAAAAUGCUACCACUCCCGUGCCUCAGGGAUCCAAGGCCCAGCAGGGGGCCCUGUGUGUGUCCGUGUCAGCCCAGGUGGAGCACUGUGCCAGCAGCUUCGGCACCCUGGGCUCCAUGAUCGGGGGCCUCCAGGGACUAGCGAGCCCCAAGGAGGGGAAAGCCUGCGGGGGGACGGGAGGAGACAAACCGGACCUGCUGCCUGGAUCUGGAACCAUCCCUCAUAUGUGAUGGAGGGCUGGGAUGGUAGGAUGGAUUGGGACAAGAAACUUCUCAAACUAAAUUGCUAUGUUUUUUUCCUCUGGCUGUUUGAGUGGAGAUUCAGGGGAUUUUAAUGAUGAUGUAAAUACAGUAUAUUUAGGCAUGUGUGAAAGAACCGCAAUGAAUAAAAGAAAAACAGUUACUCUGAUAUCUGGUGUGUGUGUGUGUGUUUUAUAUACAGAGUAAACGUUUUUGUAUCAACCUUGGACAGAUUGUG
rnacentral:lncRNA from 1 species